CAGAAACAAAAUUAUGUUUAUUACCAUAGUCUAAUAGUUCUUUUUAAGCCUACGUAAGAUUUGCAUGCAAAACAAGAAACGACACGUACAAACAGAUUCUUGAAGGAAGGAUGUGAGAAUAAUUAGUAUGGAGUGCUCCCGCUUGUAGGUGAGGACAUCACAGACAGAAUGUCAGUCACGGAAGCCAUGGCACUCAAAGCAGCUUUAAGAACAUCUUGAGAACACCCUGGUUUCACUAUGGAACGCACCUGGAAAAAGAAGAAAAAGGGGAAUAGGAAAAUAUUUAACAACAGAAGUAAACAAAUACAAAAUAGCCUUCACUUGCUAGCGUAACAAUUGAAAAUGACCCGUGGAAUGGGCACAACCUUAUCGAGGUGUCCCUGCAAUUUCUUGAUACGACCCAUGUAAUCUUGGUCCUCAACACACAGGGUUACGGCCUUUGCAUCAGCCCCAGGACCUUCAAACUGAAGGGGGCCUGGGUUUCUAUAGACAUCGUCCAUCAAAAAUUUGGUUCCAUUUUGUCUCAACAGCCUGCAGAGUCAAACAACAAGUCGACCCGAGAAUGAAGGAUGGGCCAUCAUGAUUUUUGAAAUACAAUUUUGAGACUGCAUGGUAAGACGAAGCAAUCAGAACAUUAGUGAAGAAAUGGCUUACUCAUAUGACUUGCCCUUCAAAUCCACAGCUGCUGGAUGUAGAGCCGGUUUUCCCAGUGUCACAGCCCCAUGGCCACGACCGUAGCGCUUAACGGUCAUCAUGCAAAUAACAAAGUCAUAAUUUAAUUACAUAAAAUGUCUAACAGCUCUUACUUUUAUCUCCCAAAAUUCUAAUUCUCUAAUUAACACAACUUGUCCCCGAUGACGAUUUCUAUCCAAUUUCUAUCCAAAAAUUUAGUUUAGAUGAAAUAAAAAGAUUUAUUUGUUGUCAUAUUUUUGUAUAAGUCAAAAAUAAAAAUAUUUACCACUCAUUUUAAAGCACAUUAAUAGUAUUUUUGCACGAAAAUUGUGACUAAGGACAUUGUUAGUGAAAGUUCGAAUGUAAGAAUUGAUAAAAAAUUAAAAAUAUAAAUGUAAUAAUGAAUAAAAGAUUAAUGAUCUUUAACGCAAUUAAUAUGUGUGUUUAUAAAAAGAUGUGGACUGAAUUUAAUCAUCCUAAUGUUAUUUAGGGAAGAAAUUCGCAUAACUGUUUCAAUUUGCUGUACUACAUGAAAGUUCUAAAUAUUUGGUCACUGUUGCACAUAUGUACUAAUUUUUGUUAUGGCAGUCUUGGCACUCGACUUUUAGCUUGGAGUGAAAGACAAAGAAAAACGAUCAGAAGAGCUCACAAGGAUGUGGGCAAAUGAGCUGCCCGAUUCAUGAAUGGAUACAUUCUACACGUCAUGGUAUUAGUCAAUUCAACGGCCUUAGAUGGGUGUAAGGGUAUCCAAAGUACAAAUGAAAUGGAUGUUUGUUCCAAGCCAUUCUUUUAGUCCUAAGUACAAGAAGGAAAAGGGCAAUUGCUAAUAAAGUUUUCGUGUUGCUGAUUCCCAAGUGUAAAUCUAUUAAUUAGUCCAAGUCGUCCUGCAUUACAUCAUCAAUCCAAAAGAUUCAAUAAUAAGCCUUUAAUAAAAAUAAAACAAAUGCAAAAGUACUACGAAAUGUUUGUCACUUAUUUGAAAGCGCCCUAAUGGAAAAUUUUGACAAAAACCGCCAUCAAAGACAAUUUAUUCAGAUUGAUUGAAUAUUAAAGGCAUUCUCUGUGGAAAAAUUAUUGGUCAGUGUGCAAAAUUAUUUUAUUCGAAUAAUGUAUGGUUGAAAAUAAAUUUGAGAAAAAAAUUUCUACCAAAUAAGGACUAAGUGUGAGAAUGCGAUUAAAAAGAGUUGAGUAUGACAAUAAGCAAAGAUUGAAAAUAUUUAUUACUAAUGUAGCGCAACAAAGAAAUAUUGUGGCAUGACAUAACUAUUCUUCAAAAAAAAUGUUUUUAGGGGAAGCCAUUUUUCACUCUAACUUGGUAAUAGAAAAUUUUCUCAUGUCUGAAAUAGUUAAUAAACAAUUCGGCCUGCUUGAUAUAACAAAAUUUUCAUGAAAGUAGGAAAUUAAAUUCCAUAUGCUACAUUUUUCGUAUGUUUUAUUGGCUAAAUUUUCCCUGGAAUUGAUUUUCUUGGCACACCCCAUUUUUAUAUCUGUUUGAGGAAUAUGUUUUCCCAUGAGUAUGGGUUUGGUAGUUUUUGAUUUUCGAGCCUUUUAUUUUUUUGGCAAUCGAAACGAAUUUUAUCCCCAAUUAUAACAAAUUAUAUCCCUUUAAUUGACAUUUUUCAUGAAAAACAAAACAAAAUGAACACCAAAAAAUGCAAAAUUUCAGUAUUUUCUAGGUGAAAAAUUAUACUAAUCAAACACACUGAAUUGACAAUUACCAAUAAAACAAGUUCUAGACAAUUCAAUUCUCUGAAUUUGUUUUCUUUGCACCCAAAUUCUAUUCUUGCAAUCAAAUGAACCCUUCAAUUAUAAUAGAUAGAAAUGAGCUGCAAAUAAGUAUUUCGUACUCAUAGGUCCCUUAAAAUGUUUAAAUAAAAAGUGACUUAGAUGUCUAUCAGCAAAAUAUCGGCUAAAGGAUAAUGCAGAUUCUCUAGUCCACUAUGCUCUUAAGAACACUACAAUUUCAAUCGGAUCAAAUCCCUCUAAAUUCCAUACUUCUGUCAGUUCUUUGCAGACGAGGGAUUUUGUCCCAAUUCUACCGUGGACGAGGAAUUUGUUCUGAAAGUGUUCGACCUGCAAAAUUGUCGCCACAAGAAGAAAUGCAAGAGGUAGAUAGGUAAUAUGAGAACGAGAUCUGUUGAAAACAUAAUUCUCUUCACAGCUUAGACAAAAAUCUUUGCGUACAUGGCAGAGGCAAUCCUCGAAAACAUUAUUUCAAUCUCAAAAUUACAGAAACAAAAUUAUGUUUAUUACCAUAGUCUAAUAGUUCUUUUUAAGCCUACGUAAGAUUUGCAUGCAAAACAAGAAACGACACGUACAAACAGAUUCUUGAAGGAAGGAUGUGAGAAUAAUUAGUAUGGAGUGCUCCCGCUUGUAGGUGAGGACAUCACAGACAGAAUGUCAGUCACGGAAGCCAUGGCACUCAAAGCAGCUUUAAGAACAUCUUGAGAACACCCUGGUUUCACUAUGGAACGCACCUGGAAAAAGAAGAAAAAGGGGAAUAGGAAAAUAUUUAACAACAGAAGUAAACAAAUACAAAAUAGCCUUCACUUGCUAGCGUAACAAUUGAAAAUGAC
rnacentral:lncRNA from 1 species